UACGGAGGUGGCAAGCGUUGUCCGGAAUUAUUGGGCGUAAAGCGCGCGCAGGCGGCCUCUUAAGUCAGAGGUGAAAGCCCCCGGCUCAACCCGGGAGGGCCAUUGGAAACUGGGUGGCUUGAGUAUAGGAGAGAAGAGUGGAAUUCCACGUGUAGCGGUGAAAUGCGUAGAGAUGUGGAGGAACACCAGUGGCGAAGGCGACUCUUUGGCCUAUAACUGACGCUAAGGCGCGAAAGCGUGGGAGGCAACCAGG
rnacentral:misc_RNA from 1 species